UACAGAGGGGGCAAGCGUUAUUCGGAAUUAUUGGGCGUGAAGGGCGCGUAGGCGGCUUUGCAAGUGACGGGUGAAAGCCCUCGGCUUAACCGAGGAACUGCCUGUCAGACUGUAAGGCUUGAGACCGGGAGAGGUGAGUGGAAUUCCCAGUGUAGCGGUGAAAUGCGUAGAUAUUGGGAGGAACACCAGUGGCGAAGGCGGCUCACUGGACCGGAACUGACGCUGAUGAGCGAAAGCCAGGGGAGCAAACGGG
rnacentral:rRNA from 1 species